AUGCCGCUUGUUGGAGACCCAUCGCUGCGGCCUGAGGAGGGCCAUGUGGUCAUCACCUCCACCCCGGCCAUGGAGGACAGCGCCGCCACCCUCUCCACCAUGGGCGCGCUGGCUUGGCUUGGAGGGAACCACCCACACAUCAACGCCGCGGAGGUUAGGAACGCCAUCGCCACCAACUUCGUCAUCGACCGCAGCUACAUCAAGGUGGUGCCUCACUACUCGGAGGAUUUCUUCAUCCUCUUCUACCAGCACCACCGCGACCUGGUCCCCGCGUCGGGCCGCUUCAGCCACGGUGGGCUGGACUUCCACACCGCCAAAUGGAGGCCGGAGGCACACACUGAUCUGGUGGAGGCGUACUACCACGUUCACGUGUGCAUCGAGAAUCUGCCGCUCAACACGCGGUACGACGAGGUGGCAACGCAAGUGCUGGGCCCCGACACUUUCCUACACCACUUCGACGUCACCACUGUCAAGAGAGAAGACUCCUCCUUCCUCGACCUCUGGGCAUGGUCAGCCAACCCCUCCGCCAUUCCCAAGGUUCUCCGGCUGACGGUCGCCGGCAACCAGCCGGCGGGCUACAACAACGGCCCAAGAGCUUUUGUUGGCCGGCGUGGACUCAAGGGGCGUGUCCUGGUUCACCUCAACCUGGUUGAGGAUUUCACCCUCGACGCCAACGGCAACAUCCCUUGA
rnacentral:rRNA from 1 species